rnacentral:rRNA from 1 species
GACGAACGCUGGCGGCGUGCUUAACACAUGCAAGUCGAGCGGUAAGGCCCUUUCGGGGGUACACGAGCGGCGAACGGGUGAGUAACACGUGGGUGACCUGCCCUCAGCUCUGGGAUAAGCCUGGGAAACCGGGUCUAAUACUGGAUAUGACUCCAUGACGCAUGUUGUGGGGUGGAAAGCCUUGUGCGGCUGAGGAUGGGCCCGCGGCCUAUCAGCUUGUUGGUGGGGUGAUGGCCUACCAAGGCGACGACGGGUAGCCGGCCUGAGAGGGCGACCGGCCACACUGGGACUGAGACACGGCCCAGACUCCUACGGGAGGCAGCAGUGGGGAAUCUUGCGCAAUGGGCGAAAGCCUGACGCAGCGACGCUGCGUGAGGGAUGAC